GACGAACGCUGGCGGCGUGCCUAAUACAUGCAAGUAGAACGCUGAAGAGAGGAGCUUGCUCUUCUUGGAUGAGUUGCGAACGGGUGAGUAACGCGUAGGUAACCUGCCUUGUAGCGGGGGAUAACUAUUGGAAACGAUAGCUAAUACCGCAUAACAAUGGAUGACCCAUGUCAUUUAUUUGAAAGGGGCAAAUGCUCCACUACAAGAUGGACCUGCGUUGUAUUAGCUAGUAGGUGAGGUAACGGCUCACCUAGGCGACGAUACAUAGCCGACCUGAGAGGGUGAUCGGCCACACUGGGACUGAGACACGGCCCAGACUCCUACGGGAGGCAGCAGUAGGGAAUCUUCGGCAAUGGGGGCAACCCUGACCGAGCAACGCCGCGUGAGUGAAGAAGGGUUUCGGAUCGUAAAGCUCUGUUGUAAGUCAAGAACGAGUGUGAGAGUGGAAAGUUCACACUGUGACGGUAGCUGACCAGAAAGGGACGGCUAACUACGUG
rnacentral:rRNA from 1 species